GCCUUCCUAGUAUAGAAAGUAUGCCUGUCUUCCAAACAGGAGGUCCGCCGUAAUAGCGGGGAGGGUU
rnacentral:tRNA from 1 species